UUCUGGCAAACCAGUGAGGCACUUUCCUUUUAUGGUCACUCUUGCAACCUGGGGGAGGUGCUUCCUGGAGCAACCCAGAGCCCACGCCUGCAGCGGGCAUUCCUCCACCUUGUUUAUGACGCACAACCAGUAACACUCCCAUGCCAGCCCACUCCACUUCUGAGGCCACCCGGGUUGGACCCCGACUGAUGCAUUUCCCGAGGGCAGUUAAUGUUGACCCCACCUUACAGAUGAGAUUAGCCCAAGCUGCGGGGUCCAGUGACUUGAUCAAGGUCCCAUAACCAGUUGUGGAGAAGUUGGGAUUUGAACCUGGAUCUGGUGUGGACUAUGCCCUGCCAGUGGGUUAGAGACUACUUCACACAGGAUUGUGGAGGUAGGUCGCCCUCGUUCUACUCAGCCUCAGAGACAAGGAGGAAGACCAGGGAGUGGAUGGUAAGGGAAAGCAAACUUUGGUCCAACACAGAAAGAGCUUUACAAUAGUCAAGAUUUGUGGUAGUGAGGUGCCCAUCACCAGAUGUAUUCAAGCAGAUGAUUCUUUCCUAGGGAUAUUGUAGAAGAUCCUCAAACUUUAGAUAAGGAUGGAUUCGACAGUCUUUCAGGAUCUCUUCCAACCCAGAGAGCCUACACAGUUAUUUCACUGAGAAGAAAACGAUGACAAAAUCUUGAGCUCAUUGAAGGAAGGAAUGUGCCUUAUUCGUCAUGGACUCACUAUCCCUAGAACAUAUGGGCACAUAUAAUAAA